rnacentral:rRNA from 1 species
UACGUAGGGUGCGAGCGUUAAUCGGAAUUACUGGGCGUAAAGCGUGCGCAGGCGGGUUGUUAAGCCAGAUGUGAAAGCCCCGGGCUCAACCUGGGAACUGCGUUUGGUACUGGCAAGCUAGAGUACGGCAGAGGGGGGUGGAAUUCCACGUGUAGCAGUGAAAUGCGUAGAGAUGUGGAGGAACACCGAUGGCGAAGGCAGCCCCCUGGGCCGAUACUGACGCUCAGGCACGAAAGCGUGGGGAGCAAACAGG